AUUGAACGCUGGCGGCAUGCCUUACACAUGCAAGUCGAACGGCAGCACGGGAGCAAUCCUGGUGGCGAGUGGCGAACGGGUGAGUAAUGUAUCGGAACGUGCCCAGUCGUGGGGGAUAACGUAGCGAAAGCUACGCUAAUACCGCCUACGAUCUAUGGAUGAAAGCGGGGGAUCGCAAGACCUCGCGCGAUUGGAGCGGCCGAUAUCAGAUUAGGUAGUUGGUGGGGUAAAGGCUCACCAAGCCGACGAUCUGUAGCUGGCCUGAGAGGACGACCAGCCACACUUGGACUGAGACACGGCCCAGACUCCUACGGGAGGCAGCAGUGGGGAAUUUUGGACAAUGGGCGCAAGCCUGAUCCAGCAAUGCCGCGUGCAGGAUGAAGGCCUUCGGGUUGUAAACUGCUUUUGUACGGAACGAAACGGUGAGCUCUAAUACAGUUUGCUAAUGACGGUACCGUAAGAAUAAGCACCGGCUAACUACGUGCCAGCCGCCGCAGUAA
rnacentral:rRNA from 1 species